AUGCGCCUUGUUUCCUUUUCCCCUUUCUAUUUUAUUUCUCAUUUUCUUUUCCUCCUCUCUCGCGUUCCCCAUUCCCUUUCCUUCCCUCCUCCCGAUCUAGAGCAGCGCCGCCGGGAGGCCGCUCGGGCUGCGCCGCCGCCGCGAGCCCUCCCCCCACCCCCACCUCUUCCUCUCGUUUCCUAUCCAUUUAUUUUUUUCCCCAUUCUCUUUUCCUCACUCGCCUAGGUUUUCUUGCUGCCGCAGCCGGGUCGAUCCGCGCCCAUCGUUCAUCGCCGCUCGCUGGAGAGGUGGCUCAGACUCGACCUCGGGGCUGGGGAUGGCGUGGAUCUCACGAAAGUGAUGACGGAUGAGGCUAGCUUCGACCAUGAGGGAGCGACGCGAGUGGGGUCGGAGCACGGUGGCGGAUCCUGCGGUGAUGGCUGCACCGACUCUGCACACGGCGGGGAGGAAGGCGACGUAGCGGUUGAUGAAGGACAUGCUCCCUUGCAGGGAAGGGAUUAGCGCACAGUGCUCGCGCGCGCUGGUGCUCGUUGUGCCCGCGCCCGCCCCGUGGCCACCCUCCUCCAAUGUCGUCCUACGCGCGCUGCCGUAGGAGGCCCAAUACCGCGGAGCCCGUGCGUGGCCGACUGGGAGCAGAGCAAUGAGAGGAGGCACGACAGUGCCGGGGGCAACACGUCUCUCUACCGGCGCAGGCAGCAGGCACGGUAGCAGCCUUGCAGCACAAUGCAGAGCCGCUGAUGCAACGAGCGAGCAAUCCCGGGGGCAACACGUCUUUCUAACGGCGCAGGCAGCAGGCACGGUAGCAGCCUUACAGCACAAUGCGGAGCCGCUGAUGCAACGAGCGAGCAAUCCCAGACAUUAGCUAGCACAGCGCUCUUUGUUCUUCCAUGCUGAAUGUGUUUCUGAUGUCUCUGUUGUUGGCAGGGGGAGGUGUGCAAGGCUCUGGCAUUGAUGGAUCCACGUUUCAUGUGAUACUUGGCUGGACGUUGCUAGUGUCGCCAUGUCGGAGAAGGCGUACAUUAGUUAGUUCAAUACAAAGAGGCCAUUGUUUUGCUGCCGUAGAAUUUGUAUGUGUGGAAAUAGGCGCAAGUACUGUUGGAUGUUUGACCAAGCAAAAGUAAAUAUGAGGACAGUGAUUCAUUAGAUGAGUCCUUGGGGGAGGGGGGUUGAUCAAGGGACUUUGCCUGCUGUUUUUAUGUAUCAAGUCAAUGGUACUUCAUCCGGGCUUGUUAAAUUAGAAAGAAGAAGCCGAAGAGUAUUGUUGAGGAAUGAUUUUUUUCCACCCACCGACUUUUCUAUAUCGGCACAGAUAUCUUUGUUUGCAUGUUUAUUUCUAUUUCAACGCACAGAACAUUUUUAUAUUCCCUGUAAACAUAAAUAAAACAGAGUAAAAUGCACCCUGGGUACCUAAACUAUUAUGUGGGUACCAGAUAGGUACUUCAACUCGGAAACGUAACAGACAUGUACUCAAACUAUUCUAUGGGUACUAGAUAGGUACUCUAAGACAGAAAUGUAACAGCCAGGUACUUAAACUAUUCUGUGGGUACCAGAUAGGUACUCCAACUCAGAAACUUAACAACCAAGUACUCAGUUUAUUUAUGUUGAUCACUCGUCAGCUAGCAUGCUGCUACGUGAUGUCCGUUUAAUGUCGAGCGCAAAAGAAAUGAAAUCAUGCAUGCGGCAGUAGCAAACGGUGGUGGCAUUUAAUUCCUCGUCGAUAAAUAAUAAUGGUAAUAACAAAGCAAUUCCUCAUCCUGAGAUUAUUGUGCAAGAGCUUGUCUGGAAUUAUUUAUGGACGAAUUUAUAAUAUUAAUAAUAAAGAUUUCCUCAUCUAGAAUCAGGUGGAGUUAGUAAUUGUUUUUAUCUCAUAUAGGGUUUGUUUUUCAUUCGUGUGCUUCACCAGAUUAAUAGUUUAGAAAAAACUGCACAAUUUACUUGCCUAAAUAUUCUUGCAUCACGGCUGAAUAUUAUGAAUUUAUAAUAACACUAGCCUGACAUGGUUCUUACAAUACUGCUGUAAAAAGUGCCAGUGCCUUUUAUUAUUUUCGACCAGCAUGUAUGAAUCAAUAGUAAUUAGAUGCCACCACCGUUUACUAUUGCCGCAUGCAUGAUUUCAUUUCGUAUGCGCUCGACAUUAAACGCACUCGCUCGGACAUCACACAGCAGCAUGCUAGCUGACUAAACAGAUCGAGUACUUAACUGUUACGUUUCUGGGUUGGAGCACCUAUCCGGUACCUACAAAAAUAAAAUAGUUUGAGUACCUAUCUGUUACGUUUAUGAAUUGGAGUAUCUAUGUGGUACCCACGUAAUAGUUUAAAUACACAGAGUGCAUUUACUCAAUAAAACAUGUAUACCAAGUUUCGUUCACAACCUUUUUAAAAUUUUUUUGGCGGAGUUAGGAAAAAGUAUAGUGCAAACUUGUUUAUUUUCAUUUUCCACAUUUUUUAAAACAUUACAGCAAAAAUAUAUUUUUAUAUUUUAAAGAUUUUGCCCCUAAAGAAACGAACGUAAAAUUUUAUUUAAAACUUACUUUUAUUUUAAUUUUCACUCCCCCACCCAAUUAUUACACCCAUAUUCCCACAUCCCGAAAAUGCAGUAGAUCGGCCUGCUCGCUAAUCGCUAUCCAAAUCGGAACAGCACGCGUGGAGGAUUACUGUAUUCCAGAAAGAGAAUGGUCCGACACAGUAGUAUUAGCCAAAAAAAGGAAAUAUGGACUUGUCAGAGAUUGGCCGGGUAGAGGGAAGCUAACGGGCGACCGUAAACUAGAAAACCCCCGUGUUUGGUUGUAAUAGCAAAAAUUUCGCGAAAAAGAAAUUUUAUAUACAUGGUGUAUUAAAUAUAGUCUAUUUGUAAAAAAAAUUUAUAGAUAGAUGCAACUUUGCGAGCUGAAUCUAAUGAGUCUAAUUAAUACAUGAUUAGAUACAGUAAUGUUAUAGCGACUAUGCUCUAAUCAUCGUCAAAUCAUGCGGUCAAAUACCUCAUUAGGUACAAAAUUGCUACAGUACCAAUGGUUGUAGAGGUGUUUUUGUAAUUAGACUUAAUUUAAUAUCUCUAAUUAGUGUUCAAAGUUACAAAAAAAAUUCCAUCAAAUUUUUUUCACCUCUAACCAAACACAGCCAUAGCGGAAGCUUGUGUGGGCUCUUGCGGUGUGGAUGGAGGCCCAAAAACAAAGGCAAGCAGGUAGUGAGGAGGCCCACAUGACAUACGAGGCAAGCAUGUAGUGCGCCCGUGCCCUGGCUGGCCCACAUGUCAAAGGCAGAGGCAAAGGGAAAGGGGAAAUCCAAUCCGCCUCGAUUUCCUCCACGCCAAGCAACUCCCGCCCGCCCGUCUCCUUCCUCGGUUCCUCCUCCCGAGACGAGACGACGAAUCGCCCGCCCAGAUCCCCAGCUCCCGGUCGAUCCACACCCCCUCCCCGGCCUCAAUCCAAGCAGAAUUCGUGGGGGGAAGCAGUUGGUCUCCCUCUCCGGGACUACGACUCUGCAAUUCUGGAUUUGUGAAGGAACCUUAUGAGCUGCUUGGCUGGGGCUCUACUCCAAUUCUGGUGCUACUAAGAUGGGUCAGGACCCGAUCAGCAACAAGUUUGGGACAAGACUAACCAUAGAUGAAGUAGCAGGCGCCUACCACUUAUCGCUUCUGCUCUCCCCUGUUGUUUCCUUCUGGGAUUGCAUCUUCCGCAAGAUAAGAUACUCAUUCAGACCUGAGUGGGUGUAGAAUCUUGCGUUGACCCUCCUUUUUAGCAGUAGCUGGUUUGCAAAUAAAUAGACCACCUAGCAAGGAGUCCAAAAGUAUGAACUUUGAAGAUUUUGUCUUUCCCUAAUUUUACAUAGAUAGUAGAGGAGUUUAGCUGAGAUAGUAAAUAGCCGGCACAGUUGUUAUGGACAAGACUAUCAUGAGCAACCAGGCAGGCAAAGUCUUGAAGAAAGGAAAAAAGAAACAGGCCAAGGAUGAACUGGAUCGCCAGAAGCAGGCUGAGAAGAAGAGACGCCGGCUAGAGAAAGCGCUGGCAAACUCGGCUGCCAUUAUUUCAGAGCUGGAAAAGAAGAAGCAGAAGAGGAAAGAAGAACGUCAAAGGCUGGAUGAGGAAGGUGCUGCGAUAGCUGAAGCAGUCGCUCUUCAUGUUCUCAUAGGUGAAGACUCCGAUGAACCCUGCCACUUGAUGCUAAACAAGCACAGAAGGUGCAGCCAUUGGGAUCCCUCGGCUGGCUUUGAAUUCACCGUGGAUCCACAGACCACUGAUAUUUAUUCUUCAGAUGGACUGAUUUGCACCAGCCAUGCAUAUGCCCCCAAAGGGAGGUGGGCUGAUUGGGGGAUUGGUCAGCCAUUGCCAUCUUGGGGAGAAGUGAGGGACCUCCAAGUCCAAGGCCCCUACUAUCAAGGAACAUUCCAUCAGUCAGUCAACUGCCCUGGUUUCAUAGCAGCCCAAGCAGUGUCGUCAUUGCAGAUCAGAGAAGACUCGUCAGAAAUCGCAUCUCCAAGCCAAGGAGCGGCAGCUGCAACUGUGGUUAACAGGAUGCUUGGUGGCGCCAACAGGCUCAACCUUUACAGAGAAAUAUAAAAAUACAUUUUGUCAUAGCAUUGUAUAUAGUCACCAAAAAAUGUGUUGACUAUGUUGCCUGCGAUAUAUGGUUUUCUUGUUUCAAAACAAAUGGAUCAAACAUCUUGUUUGCUGUUUUGUGAGUGUACUAAACUUGUAAAGGGUAUGUUGUAUCAGUUAACAUUGGUAUUGUAAUGAACAUAUAUGGUUUUGAUUUCCGUUGCUUUUCUUUCCAAGUGCUGUGAUUGGAAUGCUUCUGUAUUCUUGGCUGUGGUGCUUCUCUUUCUGAUUGCUUAUGUUUGAGUAUGUUGUAGGGGCAAGCAUAUUUAGAUGAUACAUCACUUAUGGCUUGUCAGACGAUGCUGAUGUUAAGCUUGUUUUGUCCUCGUGUAUAUUACCCCGUCUGUUUGAUCACAAAGAUUUGCCUGCAGAGUAUGGGCCUGAUAAUGACUACAUACGAAAAUUGCCUGAAUAUGAAUAAUUGCUCCAUCUUGGCUUAUUUGUGAGAAUCGAAGUAACAGGUCAACUUUUGGAGAAGACGAAGUUGCUCCCUGAUGAGAUGAGAUGGUGGUCCAACGACAAACUGAAAACCCAGGCUCCAGAUUGAAGCAUUUCCUCGUCAAGCCGAGCACGGUUGUCCCGAGUGCAGUAAGACAUUCUACAUUUGUACUGGGUGGUUGCAAUGAAGAAAGAAAGCUCAUUUUAGCUUUAUCUUGUAACCUUGCAGCAGGUGGAAUGUUGAAAUGGUGAUGCUGAGCAGAGGGCCGGCCCUCAGAUAUAUCAUAGUAUA